rnacentral:misc_RNA from 1 species
AACUUUCGACAACGGAUCACUUGGUUCUGGCAUCGAUGAAGAACGCAGCGAAAUGCGAUACGUAAUGUGAAUUGCAGAAUUCAGUGAAUCAUCGAGUCUUUGAACGCACAUUGCGCCCUCUGGUAUUCCGGAGGGCAUGCCUGUCCGAGCGUCAUUGCUGCCCUCAAGCACGGCUUGUGUGUUGGGCUCCGUCCCCCGAUUCCGGGGGACGGGCCCGAAAGGCAGCGGCGGCACCGCGUCCGGUCCUCGAGCGUAUGGGGCUUUGUCACCCGCUCUGUAGGCCCGGCCGGCGCUUGCCGAUCAACCAAAUUUUUAUCCAGGUUGACCUCGGAUCAGGUAGGGAUACCCGCUGAACUUAAGCAUAUCAAUAAGCGGAGGCU